GAUUAACGCUGGCGGCGUGCAUAACACAUGCAAGUCGAACGAUGAAACUUUAAUGAACCCUUCGGGGAGAAUUAAAGCGGAUUAGUGGCGAACGGGUGAGUAACGCGUGAGUAACCUGCCUUACACAAGGGGAUAGCCUUUGGAAACGAAGAAUAAUACCCUAUAAAACCAUAAAAGCACAUGCAAUUAUGGUCAAAGUGAUAGCGGUGUAAGAUGGACUUGCGUCUGAUUAGCUAGUUGGUGAGAUAAAAGCCCACCAAGGCAUCGAUCAGUAGCCGGCUUGAGAGAGUGUACGGCCACAUUGGGACUGAGACACGGCCCAGACUCCUACGGGAGGCAGCAGUGGGGAAUUUUGCACAAUGGGGGAAACCCUGAUGCAGCGACGCCGCGUGAUUUAGAAGGCCUUCGGGUUGUAAAAAUCUUUUGUAUAGGAAGAAAAUGACAGUACUAUACGAAUAAGGUCCGGCUAAUUACGUG
rnacentral:rRNA from 1 species